rnacentral:rRNA from 1 species
UACGUAGGGAGCAAGCGUUAUCCGGAUUUACUGGGUGUAAAGGGCGCGUAGGCGGGAUGGCAAGUCAGAUGUGAAAUCCAGGGGCUCAACCCCUGAACUGCAUUUGAAACUGUCGUUCUUGAGUACUGGAGAGGUUGACGGAAUUCCUAGUGUAGCGGUGAAAUGCGUAGAUAUCAGGAGGAACACCGGCGGCGAAGGCGGCCUGCUGGACCGCGACUGACGUUGAGGCUCGAAAGCGUGGGGAGCGAACAGG